rnacentral:tRNA from 1 species
UCACUUGUGGGCCUAAUGGAUAAGGCGUUGGACUUCGGAUCCGAAGAUUGCAGGUUCGACUCCUGUAUAGAGAA